rnacentral:rRNA from 1 species
AACGAACGCUGGCGGCGUGCUUAACACAUGCAAGUCGAACGAAGUGGCGAACGGGUGACUAACGCGUAAUCAACCUGCGCUUCAGAGGGGGACAACAAUUGGAAACGACUGCUAAUACCGCAUACUGAAGGAGGGGCGUGCGGGUGAUUAGCUAGUUGGAGGGGUAACGGCCCACCCAGGCGAUGAUCAGUAGCCGGUCCUGGAGGAUGAACCAGUACAAUGGGAACGAGACACGGCCCAGACGCCUAGGGGAGGCAGCAGUUGGGAAGUUUCCGAAAUGGACGAAAGGCUGACUGAGCAACUCCGCGGGAGUGAUGAAGGCCUUCGGGUUGGAAAGCUCUUUUAAUCGGGACGCGGUACCGGAAUAGAAAGCAACGGCUAACUACGUGCCAGCAGCCGCGGUAAUUC